CAAAUAUCCCCGGGGUAGCGCACUGUUUGUUUCGCGAAUGGUUGCGGGAGGGAUGGCGCCGCUGAACAGACGGUUACUAGACUGGAUAUAUUUUCUGAUUCUUCUCACCACCGUUCUGUUUUCAUGGGGAUUCGUCAUUUAUGCAACACGACUGGCUGCUCAGUGGCAGCUGAAGGAGGACUACCCCAUGCAAGCCCACCAUUUUUGAGAGAUGCUGGUGCAAGAAGACUUCUUAAAGCUAUACAGACGCUCAGGCAUUUUAAAAGUAUUCCUACCCUCAGUGAUACUAACAUGCCGGAACAAAAUCCGAGUCCAAAGUUUUAAGAAAUCAUGCUGAGACAUUGGAAGUAAAACAGAGGGACCUUGUACAAAGAUGUGAUAUUCUCACUCUGGUCAAGAGAAACCUUCAAAUUUGACACUAGCAAAGACUAUGUAUAUAAAGAUUUCAAAUCUCACAUGCCUCACUGAGGAUUAUGCUGGUGCAGUUCAGAAGAAUAAAUUAAUGCACACCCUGAAAGAAUCACCAUGAACAACAUUCAUCAACUUCAUGUAUCUGUGUUGGUGGUUUAAGUGGCAAAAUUGAACACUGUUGACUUGAAAAGAUCACUCACUCGUUUCAUAUUUACAAAUGACAUACCAUUUUGUAAUUUUAUUAUAAAAAUAACUGUUUGUAAACUUCCUUGAAUGUUUUGACUAGAAAGCAGGACCAACUUUUUUUAGAAGAAAAAAUCGCUUUCUUAUAUUCAAUAAUUACAAUAUACAUAGUUCAAUGAAAAUUACUUAAAAUACAUGUGUAUGUUAUUGUACGAAGAAACAAAAGAAGAGGAAAAAAAGAAAGUCAAAAAGGAAAGAAAUACAAAAAUCUGCCAGUAGUUGGCAUUGACUUCCCUCUAUACUUCUUCAAGAAUUCAUAUUCUUACGUUUUUUCACUGUGAGAUAAUGUCACUACAUCAUAAUAAAAUACUUCCAAACUUUCUCAUAGUAUAUAGAAACCCGGGAGUGGCAAGUACAAAUGAAAUACAAAUGCAAAUCACUCCCUGCUGCGUACAAAAAGACAACCAAUAAAUAUUUAUGAAAUUUAUAAUAAAGUGUCACAGUGCAAUUAAAAA